UCGUAACACGUGUGCAACCUGCCUUUAUCUGGGGGAUAGCCUUUCGAAAGAAGAUUAAUACUCCAUAAUAUAUUGAACGGCAUCGUUUAAUAUUGAAAGCUCCGGCGGAUAGAGAUGGGCACGCGCAAGAUUAGCUAGUUGGUGAGGUAACGGCUCACCAAGGCGAUGAUCUUUAGGGGGCCUGAGAGGGUGAUCCCCCACACUGGUACUGAGACACGGACCAG
rnacentral:rRNA from 1 species